rnacentral:rRNA from 1 species
UACAGAGGGUGCAAGCGUUGCUCGGAUUUACUGGGCGUAAAGCGUACGCAGACGGUAAGGAAGGUCGGAUGUGAAAGCCCCGGGCUCAACCCUGGAACUGCAUCCGAAACCCCCUUGCUAGAGUAUGGGAGAGGGAAGCGGAAUUCCUGGUGUAGAGGUGAAAUUCGUAGAUAUCAGGAGGAACACCGGCGGCGAAGGCGGCUUCCUGGCCCAUUACUGACGUUCAGGUACGAAAGCGUGGGUAGCAAACAGG